AGAGCAUGACAAUGUUCUAUUUCACACCGAGGCUUGGUGGUUUUCGAGAGAGGAACUGUUGUCAUUCGCUAUGGAUGUAAAAAACUGACUGUUGACUUUCUGUGUAAUUAAAAGAAAAUGUGUCUUCUUGCCUAUGUAACAGACAUAAGCUCAACGGAAUUCAAGCAUGCGGGGGAAAUAGAAAACUAUUCUACAGAUGGACUGGAGAUACUUUUGCCAGAUGGCAACCUCACUCAUUUGAUGUGGAGACCAUAACUGGGGACCAGGACGACUGAUCCGUGUAAAGGAAAGAAUGAAUGGGGCCAUGUAUCGUGAGAUUUUGAGUGAAAACCUCCUUCCAUCAGCAAGGGCAUUGAAGAUGAAACGUGGCUGGGUCUUUCAGCAUGACAAUGAUCCCAAACACACCGCCCGGGCAAUGAAGGAGUGGCUUCGUAAGAAGCAUUUCAAGGUCCUGGAGUGGCCUAGCCAGUCUCCAGAUCUCAACCCCAUAGAAAAUCUUUGGAGGGAGUUGAAAGUCUGUGUUGCCCAGCAACAGCCCCAAAACAUCACUGCUCUAGAGGAGAUCUGCAUGGAGGAAUGGGCCAAAAUACCAGCAACCUUGUGAACCUUGUGAAAACCUUGUGAAGACUUACAGAAAACGUUUGACCUCUGUCAUUGCCAAUAAAGGGUAUAUAACAAAGUAUUGAGAUAAACUUUUGUUAUUGACCAAAUACUUAUUUUCCAUUAUAAUUUGCAAAUAAAUUCAU